UACAGAGGUGGCAAGCGUUGUUCGGAAUUACUGGGCGUAAAGGGCGCGUAGGCGGCCUUCUAAGUCAGACGUGAAAUCCCCAGGCUUAACUUGGGAACUGCGUCUGAUACUGGGAGGCUUGAGUGCGGGAGAGGGAUGUGGAAUUCCAGGUGUAGCGGUGAAAUGCGUAGAUAUCUGGAGGAACACCGGUGGCGAAGGCGGCGUUCUGGACUGUUACUGACACUGAGGAACGAAAGCCAGGGGAGCAAACGGG
rnacentral:rRNA from 1 species